GCACUCUGAUGGUGCAUAUAAUAAAAUUUUGGAAUGAUACAGAGAAGAUUAAUAUGGCCACUGCUUAAGGAUGAUACACAAAGUCAUGAAGUGUUCCAUAUUCUU
ensembl:snRNA U6 U6 spliceosomal RNA